rnacentral:rRNA from 1 species
UGUUUCAGCCGCCGCGGUAAUGCGUAGGGUGCAAGCGUUAAUCGGAAUUACUGGGCGUAAAGCGUGCGCAGGCGGUUAUGCAAGACAGAGGUGAAAUCCCCGGGCUCAACCUGGGAACUGCCUUUGUGACUGCAUGGCUAGAGUACGGUAGAGGGGGAUGGAAUUCCGCGUGUAGCAGUGAAAUGCGUAGAUAUGCGGAGGAACACCGAUGGCGAAGGCAAUCCCCUGGACCUGUACUGACGCUCAUGCACGAAAGCGUGGGAAGCAAACAGGAUUAGAUACCCUGGUAGUCCACGCCCUAAACGAUGUCAACUGGUUGUUGGGAGGGUUUCUUCUCAGUAACGUAGCUAACGCGUGAAGUUGACCGCCUGGGGAGUACGGCCGCAAGGUUGAAACUCAAAGGAAUUGACGGGGACCCGCACAAGCGGUGGAUGAUGUGGUUUAAUUCGAUGCAACGCGAAAAACCUUACCUACCCUUGACAUGCCAGGAAUCCUGAAGAGAUUUGGGAGUGCUCGAAAGAGAGCCUGGACACAGGUGCUGCAUGGCCGUCGUCAGCUCGUGUCGUGAGAUGUUGGGUUAAGUCCCGCAACGAGCGCAACCCUUGUCAUUAGUUGCUACGAAAGGGCACUCUAAUGAGACUGCCGGUGACAAACCGGAGGAAGGUGGGGAUGACGUCAGGUCAUCAUGGCCCUUAUGGGUAGGGCUACACACGUCAUACAAUGGCCGGGACAGAGGGCUGCCAACCCGCGAGGGGGAGCUAAUCCCAGAAACCCGGUCGUAGUCCGGAUCGUAGUCUGCAACUCGACUGCGUGAAGUCGGAAUCGCUAGUAAUCGCGGAUCAGCUUGCCGCGGUGAAUACGUUCCCGGGUCUUGUACACACCGCCCGUCAAAC